rnacentral:rRNA from 1 species
AGUGAACGCUGGCGGUAGGCCUAACACAUGCAAGUCGAACGGCAGCACAGUAAGAGCUUGCUCUUACGGGUGGCGAGUGGCGGACGGGUGAGGAAUACAUCGGAAUCUACUUUUUCGUGGGGGAUAACGUAGGGAAACUUACGCUAAUACCGCAUACGACCUACGGGUGAAAGCAGGGGAUCUUCGGACCUUGCGCGAUUGAAUGAGCCGAUGUCGGAUUAGCUAGUUGGCGGGGUAAAGGCCCACCAAGGCGACGAUCCGUAGCUGGUCUGAGAGGAUGAUCAGCCACACUGGAACUGAGACACGGUCCAGACUCCUACGGGAGGCAGCAGUGGGGAAUAUUGGACAAUGGGCGCAAGCCUGAUCCAGCCAUACCGCGUGGGUGAAGAAGGCCUUCGGGUUGUAAAGCCCUUUUGUUGGGAAAGAAAAGCAGCAGGUUAAUACCACGCUGUUCUGACGGUACCCAAAGGAUAAGCACCGGCUAACUUCGUG